AGCCGGCCUAGCUCAAUUGGUAGAGCAACUGACUUUUAAUCAGAGGGUCAGAGGUUCGAAUCCUCUAUGGCUC
rnacentral:tRNA from 1 species